rnacentral:rRNA from 1 species
GAUGAACGCUGGCGGCGUGCUUAACACAUGCAAGUCGAACGAAGCACUGUGGAAUGCGUCUUCGGACAAAUGAAACAGUGACUUAGUGGCGGACGGGUGAGUAACGCGUGGGUAACCUGCCUCACACAGGGGGAUAACAGUUAGAAAUGACUGCUAAAACCGCAUAACAUAGCGAGACCGCAUGACAUUGCUAUCAAAUAUGUAUAGGUGUGAGAUGGGCCCGCGUCUGAUUAGCUAGUUGGUAGGGUAAUGGCCUACAAAGGCGACGAUCAGUAGCCGGCUUGAGAGAGUGAACGGCCACAUUGGGACUGAGACACGGCCCAAACUCCUACGGGAGGCAGCAGUGGGGGAUAUUGGACAAUGGGGGAAACCCUGAUCCAGCGACGCCGCGUGAGUGAAGAAGUAUUUCGGUAUGUAAAGCUCUAUCAGCAGGGAAGAAAAAUAACCAAAUUGACUGUACCUGACUAAGAAGCCCCGGCUAACUACGUGCCAGCCGCCGCAGUAAGAC